rnacentral:sRNA from 1 species
UCAAAUACACGCGGCGUUCCGGGAAC